rnacentral:rRNA from 1 species
UGGGCAACCUGCCCUCAGCUCUGGGAUAACUCCAAGAAAUUGGGGCUAAUACCGGAUGUGACCGCUGACCGCAUGGUCUGGUGGUGGAAAGAUUUAUCGGCCGGGGAUGGGCCCGCGGCCUAUCAGCUUGUUGGUGGGGUAGUGGCCUACCAAGGCGACGACGGGUAGCCGGCCUGAGAGGGUGACCGGCCACACUGGGACUGAGACACGGCCCAGACUCCUACGGGAG